UUUGAGCCGUGGAGCGCUCCAUGUUGUACGGUAGCUCAUCGGGUCCAGUCCAGCCCCUCUCCCUAAAUGGAACAAUGGUCUACCCGACCGCCUGAGGGAACAGAACAGUGCCCGGAUGUACAGCGCGUCCAAGGGCAUCCCCCCCCAUAGGCGGCCUGGGACCGCCCCCACCCAUAAUGGAAUGGAACAGUCCGCCCCUCUCCCUCAAGGUGCAACAGAGCAGCCCCGACUCCUCUCCCGUGGGACGGGACGGUCUAGCAUGGGUCUCAGGCCUCUGAUUGGCGGAACGGGAUUACGUGACGUAAGAAAGACGAAGGCACUUUCCGUACGGGAAAAUGGCCGCUCCCAUGUGCGGUAACGUAAGGGCUGUACAAGAAGACGGCGGGUCGCGUCUUGUCUCGUUCGCUCAUUGGCUCGGCGUAUGCGACGCUCUUGUCGCGGCUCCAGACCCAGAGGCAGACCCUCGCUCUGAUUGGGCCGCAGCUCCGUAACCUAUCGCCGUACGCUAUCAUGGCGGCGCCCGCUGGUAACAAAGGGCCACUUCCGGUCCUGCGCACUACGGGGAGGAGGGGAACUCGGUUUUUCCGGUGCUGGGCUUCGGAGGAGGAACCAGGAGGAGGGCAGUGCCCCCUGGGACUGAGAGACCGCCUGCACUGUGGGGGUUACUCCCCGUGGGCCCCCCCUCCGGGAUGUGCCCUGCCCUCAGGCCCCCCCUGCAGCUCUGAUCCCCAACCCAGGCAGUGACCUACCCCCAUGGCUGCCACAGUGGAGAGCAACAUCAUCAUCUUGGACGAUGAGGAGGAGGGGCUGCCACCACCUAUGCCCAGGGAGCCCCCAGGGCCCGCCUCUGCCUCCCCCCAGCUCAGUGGGACCCCCACCAAGAAACCAGAUCCCCUGGCCCAGCAUGGUGGCAGCUUCAAGACUGAGAAUGAACGGCUCUUUGCAGAGUUCCUGGAGUGCUGUAGCCGGCUGACGGAGGAGCACCCUGAGGUGAUCCCAUUCCUGGCCAGCCGGCACCAGAAGGCCGGUGCCGAGUUCCUGGCCUCAGCUGAGUUUCGCAACGUGCUGGGGCGCUGCCUGACCCGUGUGCAGAGCAAGCGCAGCAAAGUCUACGUCUACAUCAACGAGCUGUGCACCGUGCUCAAGGCCCACACGCAGCGCCGCAAGCUGGCGCUCAGCUCAGCCCCAGCCCCCACUGCCCCCCACCAGCCGGAGCCCGCAGCGCCCGAGGCGGAGCGGGAGGGGACGUCGGGACAGCGCGGCACUGGCUCCAAGCGGCAAAUCCGCUACCUGGAGAACCUGCUGCGUGUCUACAUGGGGGAGAUCCGGCGGCUGCAGGAGCGGGAGCUGGACCUGGCUGAGCUGGACAACGAGGACUCCACCUACCUGCAGGAGAGCCGGCUCAAGCGCAAGAUGAUGCACAUCUUUGAGCGGCUGUGCCAGCUCAAGCAGUGCAGCAGCCUGACGGGCCGGGUGAUCGAGCAGCGCAUCCCCUACCGGGGCACCCGCUACCCGGAGGUCAACCGGCGCAUCGAGCGCUUCAUCAACCGGCCCGACGUCUUCCCCGACUACACCGACAUCCUCAAGGUGAUCCAGAAGGCCAGUGCCCGCCACAGCCUGGGCCUGGCCAAGCGCCAGAUGCAGAGCAUGGCAUUGGAUGCCUUCCGCGAGGUGGGCAACCGCCUGCAGGAGCGGCGCCACCUCGACCUGGUCUACAACUUCGGUAGCCACCUCACCGACCAGUACCGGCCUGACACUGACCCUGCCCGAAGGGACUCUGCACUGGCCCGGCGGCUGCGGGAGAACCGCGAGGUGGCGCUGACGCGGCUGGACAGUGUCGUCUCGCGCUAUGCCCAGCUGCAGGACGAGAGCGAGGAGGAGGAGCGUGUCCGCAAGAGAGCUGCCCAAGCCCGUGGCAGCGCCAUCCCCCGGCAGGAGGGGCUGCUGCCCCCACCCUGCCCCAUGGCGCCAGACCCAGGGGAGGGGCAGCCCCAACCGCAGGGCAGCCCCAGCACAAGCGCCACAAGCCAAGGGGCACUUGCGGUCAGUGAGGAGGAUGACGAUGACUCGGAGGAGGAAGAGCCCUCAUCAGACACAGACAUUGAGGAGGAGCUGCAGCAGAGCCAAGAAGGUGGGGAGGAGGAAGAAGAGGAUGCAGCCAUGCAAGAUGCAGAAGCAGCAGGUGAGGACACGGCAGGGGACCAGGAGGACCAGUGCAUGGAGUUGGGCCUGGAGCCGGGCCUGGAGCCACUGCCAUGCUCGUCAGGCGGGGAGGAUCUGGAGGACGAGGAUGAGGACGAUGAGGAGGACGAAGAAGAGGAUGAAGAUGAGGAGCCCCUGCCCCUUGCAGAGGGCCAGGGGCCCCCGUCCCCCAAGGAGGAGGAGGGGCCACCAUUCAGCCCGGUGCAGGAGCUGUUUGUGCUGGAGAUUGAGGCGCUGCCCCUGGAACUCAGCGAAACACCACCCCCCUCCCCUCAACUCCCAGGGGGCUCUGAGGCCACCCCAAAGGCUGCCCCCUUGUCCCCAGAGCCCUCUGAGGCCACCCCACUGGGCCCCGCCUCCCCUGAGACGGUCUUUUCACGGACUGAGCAGGAGGUCUCCCUGAAGGAGCCUGCUAGUUUCGCGGUGAAGCAGGAGGGAGGUGGCAUGGGGGACUCCGGGCUCCGGACUCAACCCCCUGCCAAGAGAAGGCAGCUGUCUGUCCCCAGGAGCCCCCUUGCCCGGCCCUUGGAGAACGGGGGCAGCAUGAUCAGCUCCACCAGCUUCAACGGCAGCGCUGGGCCCCCAGCCUGCAAGAGGGGACGCCAGGAGCUGCCCUGUGGCAACAGGUGGGGGCAAGGGGAGACAGGCCAGGCCAGGCAGUGUGUGAGGUGGGGGGAGCUGUGUGUGACAGCAGCUGCCUGGAGGUUCACAGCAUCGGCUCAGAGGAUGAGGACUUGGAGCUGCCGCUAGAUGGCCUGCUGCCCCGCAGCCCCCUGCCUGACUCCACCCGUGCCGAUUCGCCCUUCCAGAGCUUGGUCAGCAGCUCCCAGGGCAGCCCGCAGCUGUGCCAGCGCCUCUUGCCCAAGGCCUGCAAGACCAGCGUGGCGACUCAGUGUGACCCGGAGGAGAUCAUCGUUCUGUCGGACUCGGAUUAGACCCCCUGCCUGCCCAGGGGGGCUGGAGACUCUGGGGGGCAGGGAGGGUGACAGGGUUGGUUUGUGGCUGGUUCUGGGGUGGG